rnacentral:lncRNA from 1 species
GUAAGGCUGAGAGAGAGAAAAAAGACCCCGACAGCUUUUGUCUGUUUCCUGGCAGGGAUGGGGUUCUAAGCUCUCUUUGUCUAGCUGGGGAAGUGGCUUGUAGACCAGGUCAAGGGACAGAAAGCACGAAUUCAUCCAUCCAUUAGCCUAUCUGUCUGUCUGUUUAUCUAUCUAUCUAUCUAUCUAUCUAUCUAUCCAUCCAU